UACGUAGGUGGCGAGCGUUAUCCGGAAUUACUGGGCGUAAAGCGUGCGUAGGCGGUUUAGUGUGUGGGAAUUGAAAGCCCGGGGCUCAACUCCGGAUCCGGUUCCCAAACUGCUAGACUCGAGCGUAUCAGAGGAGAGCGGAAUUCCCGGUGUAGCGGUAAUAUGCGUAGAUAUCGGGAGGAACACCAGUGGCGAAGGCGGCUCUCUGGGGUAUUGCUGACGCUGAGGCACGAAAGCCAGGGGAGCGAACGGG
rnacentral:rRNA from 1 species